rnacentral:rRNA from 1 species
GACGAACGCUGGCGGCGUGCUUAACACAUGCAAGUCGAACGGAAAGGCCCUGCUUUUGUGGGGUGCUCGAGUGGCGAAAGGGUGAGUAACACGUGAGUAACCUGCCCUUGACUUUGGGAUAACUUCAGGAAACUGGGGCUAAUACCGGAUAGGAGCUCCUGCUGCAUGGUGGGGGUUGGAAAGUUUCGGCGGUUGGGGAUGGACUCGCGGCUUAUCAGCUUGUUGGUGGGGUAGGGGCUUACCAAGGCUUUGACGGGUAGCCGGCCUGAGAGGGUGACCGGCGACAAUGCUACUGCGAGAGGGACCAGACUCCUACGUGAGGCAGCAGUGGGGAAUAUUGCACAAUGGGCGGAAGCCUGAUGAGACAACGCUCCGUGCGUGAUGACGGCUUUCGGGUUGUAAACCGCUUUCGCCUGUGACGAAGCGUGAGUGACGGUAAUGGGUAAAGAAGCACCGGCUAACUACGUG